UCCUGGCUCAGGAUGAACGCUAGCUACAGGCUUAACACAUGCAAGUCGAGGGGAAACGAUAGAGAAGCUUGCUUUUUCUAGGCGUCGACCGGCGCACGGGUGAGUAACGCGUAUCCAACCUGCCCAUCACUUGGGGAUAACCUUGCGAAAGUAAGACUAAUACCCAAUGACGUCUCUAGAAGACAUCUGAAGGAGAUUAAAGAUUUAUCGGUGAUGGAUGGGGAUGCGUCUGAUUAGCUUGUUGGCGGGUAACGGCCCACCAAGGCGACGAUCAGUAGGGGUUCUGAGAGGAAGGCCCCCCACAUUGGAACUGAGACACGGUCCAAACUCCUACGGGAGGCAGCAGUGAGGAAUAUUGGUCAAUGGACGAGAGUCUGAACCAGCCAAGUAGCGUGCAGGAUGACGGCCCUAUGGGUUGUAAACUGCUUUUAUAAGGGAAUAAAGUGAGUCUCGUGAGACUUUUUGCAUGUACCUUAUGAAUAAGGACCGGCUAAUUCCGUG
rnacentral:rRNA from 1 species